UGGGUAGUGAAGACAUACCCUAGGUUUCCAAUGGAGGCUAUGGAAUCCCCGUUGGGAUUUUUUUUUUAAGAACAGGUUGGAUAAACACCUGUCAGGGAUGGUCUAGGUUUACUUGGCCCUGCUUCAGCGCUGGAGCUGGGCUUUGAUGACUUCUCCAGGUCCAUUCUAGCUCUACAUUUCUAUGAUUUGAUGCAUUCAGAUUGAGCCCAAUGAUUUUAGUUAGACAAAAGCAUUUCAGUCCUCAGGAAAUAAAACCAUUGAGUGCCAUAGGCAGAGAACAGGAGAGACCGAGGUACCACUGCCCGAGGCCCCUGCAAUGGCAGGAAAUAGAUUAGAUAAGACAUGCCCAGAUGAUCUGUGACCCUUGCUGAAGAGAGAGCCAAAACUUCCCCGAAGUCCCAGCCAGUCUGACAUGGUGUGUGGAAUCUUCCUGAUUCCAAAUCUGAGGAUCUGUAUGACCCUGAGCAUGUCAGCAAGAAACACCAGCCAGGCAUCUAAAAAAGAGGAUUCUCCAUGCCACCUGAGAGCACUGCUCCUCCCCAUUUGUCAUCGUGGCUCCAGCUGUGGCCAGUCUCUGGUGCUUCAGAAGAGGGCAAAUAAAUAAAUAAAUAAAUGUUCAACAACCCUAGAAUACAUCUGGCCAAUUGUGUAUCAGAGAAAAAAUUCCUUCCUGACCCUGCGGGCAAUUGUAUGAACCUCUGACGCAUGAGAUCUGAUUUGCUGCUCCUCUCCCUGUAUUUCAGCCUCCCUGCUGUAGGAAGCAGGGCUGGGAACAUGGCAUGGGUGAGGCAAGGGUGUUGGCAAAAAGAAGGGGAGUGGAUCUAGCAUUGAGCACUUCUACCAUUCUAGGCUGCAAAGAUCCCUGCAGAUAAUGGUGAAGAUGCUGCCAUAAUUUGGGGUUUGCAGCAUUGGCUGCAGGCACAGUCUGGGUGGUACAAAGGGGGAUUAAAGGUACCUUGGCACACCCUACACCCCUUGGGGGCAUCUUCUGGGCUGCACCUCUUGGAAGAUGCAGCACCGAAUGCAGCCUUAGAUAUUCCACCAGAAGAGUUGCUCACAAUACUACUUUAGAAAGAGGCUGGGUCUGGCUCAGAAACCAAGUUUCAUGCUAUGUCCGAAAAGGAAAGAAUGCAAUUUCAGCAUGCAAAUGAAAUCGUUCCACUCAGAAAAAAAUCAGUAUCAGUAGCUCAGCCCUUGAAAACCCCCUCUGGUGAAAUGAUGAAUGAUUUGAUACAUUCAUCAUAAGGAUGAAAGGUCUGUGCUAGGAACAGAUUUCUAGCGUUAACAUUCAAGAGGUAAAUUGCAGUGAUUUGGCUGGUGGAUGCUGAAACUUGCAUAGAUAUUGUAUAUUUGCACUUGAAGUACUUGGUUUCUGAUCAUUUCUUUGUUUGCUAGAGACUGAAGGGCACUGGUGAUCAGCUAUAUUUUCUGCCACACUCUGAGAGGAUAGAGAGCAGCAGCAACAGAAUCAGAGAGAAACGAAACUGCAAAAGAGGAUAGCCAUAAAGCAAAUUGGAACAAAAAGCCAACAGAGCCCGUGACAACUCAGCCGACUCGUGGGGUUGGCACGUCCUCCAUCACAACAGUCAUACAGACCGGAGGAGAUUGGACCACUGGCCUCUUUGGUAUCUGCAGUGACAAGAGUGUUUGUAAGAGUUUGCAGUGUUUUAUCAUUGCUUUAAUUCCUCCUUUGGGGAUGAAUCCAAGUAAUACGGGGAGGAAAACAAAAUGAGACUUUUAUAGACCAGUUACCAGACGCUGGAGCUUGAAGAUCAGACCAUCCAUCAUGGCUGGUUUAGGGGUAAUGAAAUUAAUAUAACCGAGACUCCCAAUAAAUCAAUAGUCAAAUCAUAAAAACAAAUAACACUUGUGGAAGCCUCUUUCAUGGAUUCUAAAGGUUGGGUGUAUUUUAUUGUCCCAUUUUGUCAGUGGGGAAACUGAGGUAUCGGACCAUUAAGUGUCUUACUGAAGCUAACACAGUGAAUCAGUGGUAAAGUCAGGAAUAGACCAAUUCUUCUGACUCCAAUUCAGGCGCUGAAAGCUGUAGAAUGCCUGUCACAGAGGCCUUAGUUGUUCCAUGUUUUUGUUUCAUUCGGGUGCUCCAUGUAAGUGAGUGCUAACAGAACCAAGUAUUAGCCCGCGUAAUGCAGGAACUCAUUAAGGAUUUUGCAAAUAGUUACAAAGAAUCUUUCACACACACACUUUCCCCUUUGGUUUAUCUGGUGUGUCUUGCAAGCUUCCUCUACACAGCCCGGCUAAUGAACUCCCUUGCUGACUUACAUUUGCGAGUUCUGUGCCUUUCCUGAACAGGGGAUACCCAUCUUCUCAUAUUGCAUGGUGAUUUAUAGUGUGGGCGAAUGAUGGGAUCAAAGUGAGAUCUCUACGCGAAUUUUACUUGUGACAGUGUUUAUCUCAACUUCCCUGCAUUCUGGAAUGGUCCCUAAUUUGAAUGGCUGCUACUAUUUCCGUUGCCAGAAGGAAGGGAAGGAGGGGUGUCCUGAAGCAGGUUUGAGCUAAAUAGGCUCUGUCUAUUUUCCUCCCCUGCGGGCUGAAUUAAACCACAUCAGUACUUGAGAGAACCAGGGAAGAUGGGUCUGAAAGACUAGAUAUCUCCAGCCAAAUCAGUUUGUUCUUGUGCAUUAGUGAGUUGCUUAUAGCCAUGUUGUUUGUUGAAGUAGUUUGUAGUUUCUGGUGCCAACUCACUCAGUACCAAAGGACCUCCGAACCAAAACUCCCCCAUCUACUUUUCUUCCAUAGUUGCAAAAUAGCUUUAAAUAUUGGAGCCGUUCUUGAAGAUUAGUUUCUGGAAUAUUGAGAACAAUCCUUGUCAAAAGAGAAUUGAUUCGGAAAGUUAUCAUUUUCAGAGGAGUUACUCUCACCAAUAGGAAGGCAUGAUAUUCCAUCAGAUGACUAGAAUGCCCCAUUUUGUAAGAUAGAGUAUGUACUAUGAGAGGUGCAUGUUACUGGAUUACCUGUGUGUUAAACACAUUUUGAACAGACGUUCAGAGAGGAAGGAUGGUCUAGUGAUUCAGGCACUAGCCAGAGACUUGAGUUCAAGUCCCAGCUUUCCCCCCCUGCAUUCCUGUGUGAUCUUGAGCUAGUCAGUGUAUGUCUGUGCUGCAAACAAACAAACAAACAAAAACCCAGGGCACUGAAUUCUGGAGCCUUGGGUCAGUAGACUCUGACUCAGGUUGUGGGGCUAAAAAUAAAAGUGUAAAUGUUUGAGCUGGAGCCAGGGCUCUGAGACCUUCCUCUCGCACUAGGUUUCAAAGCCUAGGCUCCAGCUUGAGCCUGAACAUCUACACCACUAUUUUGAGCACUUUACCUUGAGUCCUGCAAGCCUAAGUCAGUUGGCCUGGGCUCUGAGACUUCGUGCUGUGGGUCGCAGUGUAGACAUGGUCUUAGCCUCCCUGGGUAUGUCUGCAUUGCAGUUGGGAGCAGAUCUCCCAGCCAGAUAGACAUUUGAGCUAGUGCGCUGAAAAUAGGAGAGUGGCUGUUGCAGCAUGGGGAGUAGUUCGGGCCAGCUGCCAGAGUCCAAGCUCACCCGAAUUCCUGGGUCCAAGCUCGGGUGUCUAGCCCGAGCUGCUGCCUGUGCCACAACGUCCACACUGCUCUUUUUAGCAUGCUAACUUGAGUGGAGCUUGUCUGUCUACCUGGCUGGGGGACACGCUCCCAGUUGCUGUGUAGACAUAUCUUUUGUGCCUCAGAUCCCCAUCUGUAAAAUGGGGAUAAUAGCACUGCCAUUCCUUGGGAGGGUAAAUAUGUUACAAACUGUGCAUUCC